rnacentral:rRNA from 1 species
UGGGGAAUAUUGGACAAUGGGGGAACCCUGAUCCAGCCAUGCCGCGUGUGUGAAGAAGGCCUUAUGGUUGUAAAGCACUUUAAGCGAGGAGGAGGGUACUGGUAUUAAUACUACCAGGUACUGGACGUUACUCGCAGAAUAAGCACCGGCUAACCCUGUGCCAGCAGCCGCGGUAAUACAGAGGGUGCGAGCGUUAAUCGGAUUUACUGGGCGUAAAGCGUGCGUAGGCGGCUAAUUGAGUCGGAUGUGAAAUCCCCGAGCUUAACUUGGGAAUUGCAUUCGAUACUGGUUAGCUGGAGUGUGGGAGGGGAUGGUAGAAUUCCAGGUGUAGCGGUGAAAUGCGUAGAGAUCUGGAGGAAUACCGAUGGCGAAGGCAGCCAUCUGGCCUAACACUGACGCUGAGAUACGAAAGCAUGGGGAGCAAACAGG